GAUGAACGCUGGCGGCGUGCUUAACACAUGCAAGUCGAACGAGAAGUGAAGACGGAACCCUUCGGGCGGAAGGCUUUAUUUCGAGUGGCGGACGGGUGAGUAACGCGUGGGUAACCUGCCUCAUACAGGGGGAUAACAGUUGGAAACGACUGUUAAUACCGCAUCAGACCACAGCACCGCAUGGUGCGGGGGUAAAAACUCCGGUGGUAUGAGAUGGACCCGCGUUCGAUUAGCCAGUUGGCGGGGUAACGGCCCACCAAAGCGACGAUCGAUAGCCGAUCUGAGAGGAUGACCGGCCACAUUGGGACUGAGACACGGCCCAAACUCCUACGGGAGGCAGCAGUGGGGAAUAUUGCACAAUGGGGGAAACCCUGAUGCAGCGACGCCGCGUGAGUGAAGAAGUAUUUCGGUAUGUAAAGCUCUAUCAGCAGGGAAGAAAAUGACGGUACCUGAGUAAGAAGCCCCGGCUAACUACGUG
rnacentral:rRNA from 1 species